UACGUAGGUGGCAAGCGUUGUCCGGAAUUAUUGGGCGUAAAGCGCGUGUAGGCGGCCCUGCAAGUCGGAUGUGAAAUCCCACGGCUCAACCGUGGAAGUGCAUUCGAAACUGCAGGGCUAGAGUCCUGGAGAGGAAGGUGGAAUGCUUGGUGUAGAGGUGAAAUUCGUAGAUAUCAAGCGGGAACACCGGUGGCGAAGGCGGCCUUCUGGACAGUGACUGACGCUGAGACGCGAAAAGCGUGGGGGAGCAAACAGGGAU
rnacentral:rRNA from 1 species